AGAUCUGUGCUGCAAACCAAACAGCGCCACAUAAAUCAAAUCGAGGUGCAAUCACAUUUUUUCCAUGAUGAAAUCGAGGUGCAGUCUACAUUAUGACCACGGCAGGGUACAUAUAACUCUUAUGGUCUCAGGAUGUAACAGCUAAUUGGUAUCAUACAAUUUGAACAAAAUGCAUGAACUCACAGGCAGUCUCCCACGUAUUCUGACUAUCUUCCAUAUUUCUUUUAUUUUGUAAGCUCAACCAGAAAAGAUAAAAAAUUUUGCCCGCAACUCCUUAUUCGCAGAAGUCCAACAAAUGAAUUUCAAAGCUAAUCAAUACU
rnacentral:lncRNA from 1 species